CUCGAUGUCGGCUCGUCACAUCCUGGGGCUGUAGCAGGUCCCAAGGGUUCGGCUGUUCGCCGAUUAAAGUGGCACGCGAGCUGGGUUCAGAACGUCGUGAGACAGUUCGGUCCCUAUCCUUCGCGGGCGUAGGAUAUUUGAAAGGAUUUGCCCCUAGUACGAGAGGACCGGGGUGAACAUACCUAUGGUGCACCUGUUGUCGUACCAACGGCAUAGCAGGGUAGCUAUGUAUGGACGGGAUAAACGCUGAAGGCAUCUAAGCGUGAAACCCACCUUAAGAUAAGAUAUCCACAUUAGACUCCUUGUAGACCACAAGGUUGAUAGGUCAGAGGUGUAAGUGCAGCAAUGUAUUUAGCUGACUGAUACUAAUAAGUCGAAUGCUUGAUCAA
rnacentral:rRNA from 1 species